rnacentral:autocatalytically_spliced_intron from 1 species
GCCGAGUGCGGGAAAACCGCUCGCUCGGU